GGGCCGCUAGCUCAGUUGGUAGAGCAGCUGACUCUUAAUCAGCGGGUCCGCGGUUCGAUCCCGCGGCGGCCCACCA
rnacentral:tRNA from 4 species